GCGAUCUUAAGUAACGUUAGCACUUAAGCACAGCUACGCACGAUUGUGUUAAAAGUAGCAUUUUGGUGCAUUUUUUAACAGUUCGAAAGGUUUGCAAACCGGUUCAAUCGAUUCAUUAAAAAGAUCCGACUUAAAAGAACGAAUCGAGAAAAUUUACUCUGCAAUAGCUUACGGCUUACUCGAAGUGGAGAACAUUGUGCUCUUGCAAAAAUAGUAUAUAUCUCUGUUUUAUUAUAGUACGUAUUUAAAAGUAUAGGCAAUAUAUGCGUAUAGGGAAUUAUCUAUAAUAAACAUGCAAAUGUAAUUUAUUACAGAACUACAUUUAUCGCACAAAUUUUCCAUAUUGCAGGCAGGAUUAUUUGAUAUGAAUGGUAACAACAAGAGUAACAAGAAUGUUGUUGCUGUUUCCCUUCUAAAACAAUUGGUUAAAACAAGAUGAUGGUGGAAAGUUAAUUUACAUAACGGGCACAUUAUUGUUUAUUGUAGUAUAUAAAGUAUAGUGUGUGCUUACCAAUUUAUUUUAAGGAUGCACAAUAUUUUUUUUACUAAAGUUAGAUGCGCACGACAUAUCAUACGUAUAUUUAUGAGUGGGAACGCUUAAAGCUUGUUGAUGAUUUAGACGGGAAAAUAUAAGUGUAACGCAAUACUCUGUCAACAUGGCCGCCCCCUCGAGGAAUGUUUUAAGAGUUUUACCCAGAUGUCAGAGGCUGUUCUUCACAUGCAGAGCUCCUUCUGUCUUCUGCAGUUCACUGACUGCACACAAACAGCAAUCUGUCAGAUCCUACGCUGCUGCUGCCGCUGCCAAGCAGAAAGAGAAGAAAGAGGAGACUGUUCAAGAAAAGGUGGUGAAAGAGAAAAAAAAAGGUUGAUGACAAAAACAGACAUAAACCCUAUGGACUCACAGCCUGGGCUCCAGUCGAUGAUGUGUACAUGGUGAGGUACUAUCCCAGACCUGUCUAUGAGACAUCCACGGCCAUUGAAAUGCUGAAGAACUUUCAGAAGCUGGACUUCAGUCCCGAAAACCAGC
rnacentral:lncRNA from 1 species